GAUGCACUGUUUUAUAUCAAGUCGCUAAUACAUAGGUUGAUAUCAAGUGUCAUUUUGUCAUGACAGUUCAUAACAUUUUUUUUUUGUGGAGUUGUAAGCUUUCCCAAAUACAAUUGCAUCAGGUAACCACUUUAUAAAUCACUAGAUGUGUAGUAAAUACUAGCCUCUGUCCUAUGCAACUCAAGAGGCACUUGCUUUAAAUAUUUUCCAACAAAAUUUUCCCUGUUACAGUUACUAGAACAUUGCACAGGCAGCCAUUCAAAGUAGCACAGGCCAGGCAAGAAAGCCGACUAGAGCCGGGGAUUUAGCUCGGUGGUUCUGCUGCCUGCCUCGCAAGCACAAGGACCUGAGUUCGAUCUCCGGUACCAAAAAAAAAAGCAGACUAAAACUAAAAUCGGGGUGGCAGGGGAAGGAACUUGCUUCAGACUGAUUCUUCAUAGUAUCAAAAAGUUGCCAUGGGGCGGGGGAUUUAGCUCAGUGGUGCUGCCGCCUCGGCCUGUCUCGCAAUUCCAAGAUCCCGAGUUCGAGUCCCAGUAACAAAAAAAAACUUUUGCCAGGCAUAGCGGUGCCCUAUUGUAAUCCUAACACUCCGGAGGCUGAGGCAAGGGGAAUCACUGCCAGAUCGAGUGCAGCCUGGGCUACGUAGUUCCAGGCCAGCUCGAACUACAUAAGAUCUUUUCUCAAAAAUUUUUUUUCAGUUUGCUGACAUUUUCAAAAUUGCCCUGUUAGUGUGAUUAAAUCCCACGUUCAACUUAAUUGUUUUUGAAGAGGAAAUGGCCGAGAGUGUCCCUAUUCAGAGGUGAGCUUGUUCCCUGACCCUUCCCAAGCCCAGACUUCCACCUAUACAACCAGCGGCUUCCUCCCCCACUUGAUUUUCUCCCCGUUUCCCACCCGCCUGGCCAGGGCCGCACUUCUGACACAACCUUUAACACUGAAUUAGACCGGAGUCCAAUGUUUAUUGCUAACUUGCUGUGGCAAACCCAGACAGACCAUGCCAAUGCCUCAAGAACUACACACUUUUUCAGGCAGAUGAAUCUAGAGGUUGUAAGGGUGAGGCAGUGUCUGGACAUCGCAGGCGCCCAGGAAUAGAAGGUCUUCGUGUCCGCACCCGCUUCCGGGCGGUGUGACGUUACCUGGCCCUGACUGCCCAGGUCAGAGCGCCGCUCGGCGGUUUCCGUAAGUGACCUGUAAAUUCUGUCUGGCGCCCAACGAGUGAACACACUCAGGCCCUCCGGGACCGGUGCCCAGUUAGGGGUGACCGGGUCCCGAGACGCAAGCCUCGCUGUCGUCUGAGCAUCUGCCCCUCAGGCUCCCUUCCGCAGAAUCCGGAAAGGCCAGGAGCCCACCACCAGCAGGCUGGCUUUGCUGUCCGCCCGUCCCGGAACACCUCUCAUCUCUGCAGCCACGCUGAGCGAUUCGAUGACAUCCCGGGAAGAGCCGAAAGAGGGAUCGCUCCUGCCCACGGCUUGAUUCUGGACUUCCAGUUGCCAGAUCUGUGAGACCGAAGACGUUUCAGCCGCACCUGGUCUGUAUGACAGGGGAGGUCUGUAUGCUGAGGGAGACCCCCGGGAGAGCCAAGAUGGCAGGCUCCCCGGGCGGGUCCAGGUCCCUCCGUCACGGCUCUUGUUGAGGCUAGGAACUCAGGGGUAGGAAUCCGGCUGGGAGUUAUAAGCCAGUGACUCCUGGGGCAAACAACUGACAUUCAUGUCUCUGCUCCUUACAGCAGGCAGUAGGAUGAACAAUUUGUAAUUCAGCCCAGACUGUGGCCUUGCCUACAAUCGGACACUCCUGCUUUUCUUACAGAUGGCUAAUGGCUGGAAUACAGUGGGCGCCAAACAAAGGCUUCGGAAAGAACGGAGUCAGCCAGGACUGGUGGUGCACACCUGGGAUCCCAGCACUCAGAAGGCUGAGGCAGAAGGAUCACCACAAGCUCAAGGCCAGUCUGAGACCCUAUCUCAAAUAAGAAAGGAAGGAAUCAUCCCAGAAUUUCACAACAGCGACAGCAAGAGAAAACCAGGAAAUGGUUACAAGCAGGAGGAGUUAACCUUUCCGUAGUGGGCAAAAGGGAGCUGCCAUCUGCCUCCGGCCUCCUCUCCCUCCUGAGGGGUUUGGGCUUCCUGCAGAGAGGAGGGGCUGGGAACUCAGAGCGGGGGCUCCCUGGCAUCUAUGGGCCGACAGAUGAAGGUGCCUCUCUGCUGGGUCAUUGUCACAGAGACAAGUGUCUUUUGCUGGAAAGACUAGGAGGGAAAGGGUACCCAGGAGUAGCAGCAGGGAGCUGGUGGCCUGAGGUGGCCCUAGGUCCCUCCCAUAGCCCAGAGGGUCCCUCAGGGCUGCAUGUCCAGCACAAAGCACUGGGGGAAAGGCCAGGUCCAAGGCAGGCACCAGAAGCAGGAAUGCAUUCCUGGGCCGGGUACAGCAGAAGCCAGAAGUGAGGGGCUGUGAACUGACAGGGUGGAGGCCUGUGGGAAACAGGCCAGACUUGGGAGGGGGUCAUGGCUGGGUCUAGCUGUCACCCCAAAGCCUCACGUAGUCACAGGUGGAGCUUCUCAAAGGAGGCUGAGUCGAGAGAGUGUGACACUGAGAUUAAGGGUGUGUGGUUGCUAAACCAGUCCACUGAUUGGUUUGGCACAACCUGAGCCUUGUAACCUGGGUAGAAUAGAAAAGGGGCAGAAAGAAGCCACUGCUGUCCGCUUGCUGCUUUGCCUGCCAUCUGUCUGCCAUGAACUGUUUCUCCUCUCUGAUGCCACCCUGCCUUGGAGCCAGCCAACAAGGGAC